ACAUUCCUGGGGUUGAGGUUGCUAACGUCGAGCGGCUCAAUCUUCUGAAACUCGCUCCCGGUGGCCAUCUUGGAAGGUUCAUUAUCUGGACCAAAUCGGCAAUUGAGAAGGUGGAUUCAAUCUAUGGAUCCUUUGAUAAGACAUCGGAGAAGAAGAAGGGAUACCUCCUGCCACGCGCAAAGAUGGUAAAUGCUGAUUUGGCUAGGAUCAUCAACUCGGACGAGGUUCAGUCUGUGGUGAGGCCAAUCAAGAAGGAGGUGAAGAGGGCACCAAUGAAGAAGAACCCGCUCAAGAACUUGAAUACAAUGUUGAAGCUGAAUCCAUAUGCCAAGACUGCA
rnacentral:lncRNA from 1 species